GCCAGGCAUGGUGGUGCAGGCCUGUAAUUCCAGUGGCUCUGGAGGCUGAGGCAGGAGGAUUGCUAAAGCCAGCCUCGGCAAUUUAGUGAGACCCUGUCUCAA
rnacentral:sRNA from 1 species